rnacentral:rRNA from 1 species
UAGGGAAUCUCCCACAAUGGACGCAAGUCUGAUGGAGCAACGCCGCGUGAGUGAAGAAGGUUUUCGGACCGUAAAGCUCUGUUGUUGGUGAAGAAGGAUAGAGGUAGUAACUGGCCUUUAUUUGACGGUAAUCAACCAGAAAGUCACGGCUAACUACGUGCCAGCAGCCGCGGUAAUACGUAGGUGGCAAGCGUUGUCCGGAUUUAUUGGGCGUAAAGCGAGCGCAGGCGGAAGAAUAAGUCUGAUGUGAAAGCCCUCGGCUUAACCGAGGAAUUGCAUCGGAAACUGUUUUCUUGAGUGCAGAAGAGGAGAGUAGAACUCCAUGUGUAGCGGUGGAAUGCGUAGAUAUAUGGAAGAAUACCAGUGGCGAAGGCGGCUCUCUGGUCUGCAACUGACGCUGAGGCUCGAAAGCAUGGGUAGCGAACAGGAUUAGAUACCCUGGUAGUCCAUGCCGUAAACGAUGAGUGCUAAGUGUUGGGAGGCUUCCGCCUCUCAGUGCUGCAGCUAACGCAUUAAGCACUCCGCCUGGGGGAGUACGACCGCAAGGUUGAAAC